ensembl:lncRNA
GGGGGUGGGAGCGGCGGAGGCGUCCGUGUUGGACCCCGAGGCCUCCGCCUGCGUGGUAAGGUGGCCUCUUGAAAGCGGCCUAGGGGCUGAAGGCUGGCACGUGGGAAGCACUCUGGGUUGUGUGAGGACGUCGGGAGUGACUGCCCGUCCCGGUCCCACCCCUACCGCUCUGGCUGCCCCAAGGUUCACUUCGACGUGCGCUCCCCGGGGGCAUGCCGUCGGCCGGUGUGUAUUCAGCACCCGCUCGACCCGGCUCCCUGCGGAGCUACGGCGGAGACAAAGGACAGGGGGGCCGGGUCCCCGCCCGCCCGCAAGCACGCCCGCCCGCUGGGGGCUACCAGUCUAUCGCGGGGAGGGAGAAGGACAUCGUCGAUUCAGCCUUCUCUGCUUCACUUGUGCUGGGAACAUGCUCGAAGGCCGCUGGGGCCCAGGAGCCGGGAUCCCGGACCAGCCUGGGGAGGAUGAAGGGAGAGAGGGCAAAGCCGCUGCGGGGCGGGGCGGGGUGGGGUCGUGGGGGAGAUGCAGCAAGUGCCGAUGGCCUGCAACCUCGCGACUCUUGCAGGGAACCGCACGAAGAGAGCGCGUGGGGGCUCUGUACCGGAGGGAGCUCGGGGAUGGCGAGGGGCUUUGAACUUUACCACCAAGAGCUACAGGAGUCUCUCUAAAGAACAGUAUCAAGCGAGGUUCUCCUUGGAGGCCUCUGGAAAGCUAGACAACCGGAGAGGGCAACCUGGUGGCAGGUGGUUCCUAGUGUGGAUGAUGGGUCCAGGACUUAAUCGAACAAGAUUUCUUUCAACUGCCCAGUAUAGAAGUCGCGCUUGGAAACGCCGGAAGCCUGCACUGGGUAAGCACAUAGGGGCUAAGGAAUCAGAAGCUGUCUUGGAUUGCUCCUUCUGCCCCUGUCAGCCUCAGCUGAGCGGCUCCUCAGGCGCCCAGGAGCCUCCUCUGGACAGAUUUAUCCAGGAAAAUCUUGUCUGACCUCCCAACUUGAGACCUACCUCACCAUCUCCUCUUCAGAGACCGCCGCCCCCCUCCACCAAGUUCUUAGCUGCUCCCCAUCUUGUCCCUCUGGGCCUCUUAUUCCACCUUAUUUUUCUACACAGCCCUAAACAUUGACCUUAUAUUCCAUAUAUUCCAUGUCGAAUGUGUCUGUCAAAUUACCCACUUAAUGUUGUCUAUUCUCUACUUUAAAAUGAAAUUCUUCCCAAGCCCCAACACUCAGAGCAGGAUCCUGGACAGAGCAAGCCCCUUCUAUAUAUUGCUGAUGACUGGCUGGGGGAGCGAGGGAGGAGGCAGAGGCUGAGGCCCCAGAUGAGGGGACCGUUGUCUGAGACCCUUAUGGCCCUCUGGGGUUCCCAUCUUGAGUAGAUCCUGGCAUCGAGAAUUACCCACCCACCCUAGCUACCCCACUCCUAUGUUUCGGCUCCUGUCUCCUGCCCAGGUGACAUCUGUACUGCUCCAGGUGGGCUGAGAUCAGGGGUUGGCUGGCUGUCGAGAAGUUGCCUUCACACAGGACACUCGAGGCUUGAUGGGCCUUGUGCUGCCAGACCCGCUCUCUGCCCCUCUUUCCCUCCCUCACUUUCCCUUUUCUUCCAACUCUUCAGUCUUUUUCCAUCCUUCUUGAUUCUGCCUUUGCCUCGGGGCUCUGAGCCCCUACCCGGACAUGACUGGCCUGCCCGAGCGAGGACCUGGGGCCCCAGGUCGGUUCCUGCCCAGGGAAGUGCUCCUUCCCUGGGCAAGUAGAGCCAGACCUCUGGGUGGCUGUCUGGGUGUGGCUGACUUGGCUUCUUGUGGUCAGGACUGUUGCUCCCAGUUUUCCUUCU